rnacentral:rRNA from 1 species
UACGGAGGAUGCAAGCGUUAUCCGGAAUGAUUGGGCGUAAAGCGUCCGCAGGUGGCUGUGUAAGUCUGCUGUUAAAGAGCAAAGCUUAACUUUGUAAAAGCAGUGGAAACUACACAGCUAGAGUGCGUUCGGGGCAGAGGGAAUUCCUGGUGUAGCGGUGAAAUGCGUAGAGAUCAGGAAGAACACCUGCGGCGAAGGCGGGUUGCUGGGCCGACACUGACGCUGAUGCGCGAAAGCCAGGGGAGCGAACGGG